rnacentral:rRNA from 1 species
UACGUAGGGGGCGAGCGUUGUCCGGAAUUACUGGGCGUAAAGGGUGCGUAGGCGGAUAUGCAAGUCCGAUGUGAAAUGUUACGGCUUAACCGUGGAGUUGCAUUGGAAACUGUGUAUCUAGAGUACAGGAGAGGGAAGCGGAAUUCCUAGUGUAGCGGUGAAAUGCGUAGAUAUUAGGAGGAACACCAGUGGCGAAGGCGGCUUCCUGGACUGACACUGACGCUGAGGCACGAAAGCUGGGGCAGCGAACAGGAUUAGAUACCCUGGUAGUCCCAGCCGUAAACGAUGGGUACUAGGUGUUGUCACUUCAUUGUGGCAGUGCCGGAGUUAACGCAAUAAGUACCCCGCCUGGGGAGUACGGCCGCAAGGCUGAAACUCAAAGGAAUUGACGGGGGCCCGCACAAGCGGUGGAGCAUGUGGUUUAAUUCGAAGCAACGCGUAGAACCUUACCAGGGCUUGACAUCCCUCUGACGGGUAUAGAGAUAUGCCUUCUUUUCGGAGCAGAGGAGACAGGUGGUGCAUGGUU